GACGAACGCUGGCGGCGUGCUUAACACAUGCAAGUCGAACGGAAAGGCCCUGCUUUUGUGGGGUGCUCGAGUGGCGAACGGGUGAGUAACACGUGAGUAACCUGCCCUUGACUUUGGGAUAACUUCAGGAAACUGGGGCUAAUACCGGAUAGGAGCUCCUGAUGCACGGUGGGGGUUGGAAAGUUUCGGCGGUUGGGGAUGGACUCGCGGCUUAUCAGCUUGUUUGUGAGGUAGUGGCUUACCAAGGCUUUGACGGGUAGCCGGCCUGAGAGGGUGACCGGCCACAUUGGGACUGAGAUACGGCCCAGACGCCUACGGGAGGCAGCAGUGGAGAAUAUUGCACAAUGGGCGGAAGCCUGAUGCAGCAACGCCGCGUGCGGGAUGACGGCCUUCGGGUUGUAAACCGCUUUCGCCGGUGACGAAGCGUGAGUGACGGUAAUGGGUAAAGAAGCACCGGCUAACUACGUG
rnacentral:rRNA from 1 species